CUAGCUAUACCAUAUAAUGCUUGAAAGUAUUAAUCAUACUUACAAUUAAGUGUUACUUUUACUUCAAUUGAUUUUUCAUCCGUUAGAAUGUAGCUCUGAGCCACACACUUGUACGUUCCAAUGUCUUGCUUACCCACAUUAGUGAGAGUUAAACUAUUUUCUCCAUAACUUGCGUUACCAAGCUGUUGGUUUCCAUCUUUAUACCAAGUUACAUUGGCUGGAGGGUUUCCACCUUCACUUCUACCAACACAUGUAAGGUCAUCACCUUCGUCUAAUGUGAUACGACUGGAACAAUUGAUGAUUAAAUUUGGUUUCACUGAAUGAAA